rnacentral:rRNA from 1 species
AUUGAACGCUGGCGGAAUGCUUUACACAUGCAAGUCGAACGGCAGCACGGACUUCGGUCUGGUGGCGAGUGGCGAACGGGUGAGUAAUAUAUCGGAACGUGCCCAAUCGUGGGGGAUAACGUAGCGAAAGUUACGCUAAUACCGCAUACGAUCUACGGAUGAAAGCGGGGGAUCGCAAGACCUCGCGCGAAUGGAGCGGCCGAUGUCAGAUUAGGUAGUUGGUGGGGUAAAGGCUCACCAAGCCAACGAUCUGUAGCUGGUCUGAGAGGAUGAUCCGCCACACUGGGACUGAGACACGGCCCAGACUCCUACGGGAGGCAGCAGUGGGGGAAUCUUGCACAAUGG